UUCUGUAUAGCUUGAAGCUAUUCUGAAACAGGGAGGGCAGUGGUAAUAAUCAUAGAAAGCUUUGUGUUGUAGGUGGUUUCCUCCUAGCAACCUGUAAUCAUCUGCUGGUGUUUGCUUAAUUCACUUAGUGGAUGAAAUUGCCAUGAGAUCGCACUAGGGUGAUGCUUACAUUUGGGUUGACUGUUUUCUGCAAUUGCUGUUGCUAAUUCAGAAGAAAUGCAGAGACAAUGAAAUGAAGCAGAAAAUUUUCAAUUGUAGAAGCAGAAAUGAAUUGCUGAAUCUGGGCAGUGCUGAAUUUGGACAGUAGGCAAACUCUGAGAAAUUAUUGCACUUGAACUACAAAUCCAGAAGCUAUAGAGGAAAGGAAAGGGCAAGGUGUUGAUGUCACUGUCGAUUUCAGAUGUUGCUGCUGUAAAGCUUAAUAUGUAUGGAAGAAUCUAGCACGUCAGAAAUGAACUGAUCAGCCUAGUGCAUGGUGCAAGGAAAAAAAUUUCAGAAUCAGCCUAGUUCAGUUGUUUCUGUUUUCAGUCUGAUUUUUGUUCUGAAUUGCAGGACUGGAGGAGAUUAGAAAAGGAAAAGAGUGAUGAAUUAAACUCAUCAAGUUCUUGCUGUCUGAAUUUUGAUGUUUAUCCAGCAAAUUCAGAUCUAAAUGUCUGAUACAGAAUCCUGCCUUUAUUUACUGCCCAUUGUACACCUCAAGCAAAUCAGAUAUAAUUUCAUGAGUUGCAGAAUUGAAAUUAAAAGUCUAGCAGAUUCUUAAACUGUAGUUGAAUCUGAAUUCAGAAUUGGUGUGAUUUGUUUGAAACAAGUGUUGUGCCGAUUAUGGUUGAUGUGUCUGGUCAGCUUGGUUUGGAGUUUAAUAUCCUGUUUAUUUAGUGUUAAAUGAGAUUCUCGAAUAGGCUUAACCUUACAAGUCUUAUGCUGAAAGACUUUCAGAUUGCUAAUUCUGAAAUUUUCUUUGGAAGCAUUAACUCUGUGAAGCUGAAUUCUGGAUUCUAGAUGCAGAAAAAAAAAAAAAUGUUUGUCAAUUAAAUUCUGAAAAUUCUCAGAGAAGUGCAAGAUGGCGAUAGGGAGAGUUGGUUGGAGAAGAGCUAAGUUUGGAAUUGGCUGACUUCUGGAUAUUGAAUUGUGAGAAGAAACGAAGCAGAAGAGAGAAAAAAAAAAAACCCUGCAGAACAUGAAGGAACUAUAAAUACUGCUCGUGCCAAAUCUUCAAGCUUUUCCUGAUCAGUAGCAAACUAAAUUAAAGCUGAACUCUUAAUGAUUUAAUUUGAAACUCAUUUGAAAUUUGGAUUUCUGGAAUGCUGAAGUUGGAACCCUGUUUAGUGCCAAUUUUUCAUGUUGAUUUUGCAGCAAUCAGGAUUCCUUCUCCUAAAGGUUGCAGCACUUAAAUGAAAGUCUUGACAGAACUAAAUUCUUCUUGAGAUAAAUUGAGAUUUCCUUGAAUUAUAAAAUCGGUAUUGAAGAUCAGAAGUCAUGUGCAGAGUUCUUACUAAUUUCACACAGAAAGAAACACAUACUUUUGAGUUCACAGAACAGCCUCUGAUAUCUGAAGAAGAUGGGAUUGCAGAAUCCAGGAAAUGCAGAAAUGUUAAGUCUGAAUGAAGAACGUGCAAUUAUGUAUCAGUUUUGUGUGCUAAAUAGUGGAUGCAAUUUCCUUAUCAGCAGAAAGUAUAAGCACAACUUUUGAUUGUUGAACCAUUUGAAUUAAUCAUAUGCUGCUGGAACAUAAGGAUACAGUUGGUCUUUUAUCUAUUGAAUGCUUGGUGAGAUGUCUGAAAUUGAAGGAUUAAAGUUUAACUCUUGUAUGGUUUGAAGUCUGCAAUUUCAAUGGAUGAAAAUUCUGAACCUGAGGCAGCUUAAUUUAGCAGUUAGAUGCAGAAAUUUGUUUGUCUAAUUUUCCAGCAGUGAAGACACAAGAACUAAUGAAACUCAAGGAUUUGGAUUCAGCUGAUAAGAGCUGUAAAUGAAAAAAUGGAGACAGCUAUAGCAGUUUUCAUCAGAUCAGAAUCUGAAUUCUGAAACUUUCUGAAUCCUGUUUAAUGUUGUUUAGUUCUGAUUUUCUACUUCUUUCUGAUAUGAUCUGAGCUUUUGCCGGAGUUAAGGUUUGGAAUCAUAUCUCUUGACUACUUAAGUUCCGAAAGAAUAGAAGAACAGAAAAAGAGAAAGUAAAGAAGGGAAAAGCUGCAGAUUGGAGACAAGAAACAAUAGUUAAAGAGUUGCAGAUGCAUGAUGUAUUCCUUUGUCCGAGACGGACAAUGUUUUAAGUGUGGGGGAGGGAUUCCUUAUCCAUUAGUUGAU